UACCAACUGCCUUCUCUCAACUGACUCAACUGCUCAGAAAUUUCUGGUGGGAGCAAAAGGGGUUGAUUUCUGCCAUUCCUGGAGCCGUUCCCAUCACUGAAUGAGAGAGAGGAGCUGGGAGAGGAGCUGCUUCCUUCUCGCCUCUGCUUUCCUCUGCCGGGGUUAGCAGAAAGGUUGAUCUCCAGAUGAUGCAGUUAAGGGCUUCAAGGAUACCAGCAGGCCUUUCUCUCCUGGGCGCCUUCAGCAUCAUAGCAGGUACAGGAUAAAGAUCAUGAUGGAGGGCCUGGUCUCCACUUGGCCUAGCAGCCUUCCCUGAGCUGGGCCUGUGCCAAAGUAAAAGUGCCCAGGAGAAGGAGUGGGAAUCGGAAAAGAAUGAAGGCGAAGCAAGCAAUGGAGGAUCCUGAUAGCUGUGUCUCCUGAUCCAUACUACAGUCCUGUAAGUGUUGAAGAACCUCUUGAAUUUGUCUUCCCAGAAGAUGGAGAGGUAAGUCUGACUCCUACCACCUCCAGAGGCCAGACUGUCAGAGAGCUACAUAGGAAAAGACAGCAGUCCACAGAUAUCAAAGGUGUUGAAAAAGGAGCGUACUUCCUCUCUGUUGCUACUGAGCGCAGCACUGAACGCUGCCAAUACGAGAAUGCAGGUUUAGGCUAGGCAGUAGGAAUGCUUUCCCAAAUGGGAGAAGGGUUGCCAAGGUCACCUCAUGGAGUCCUGGGCUCCUCUUUGCUGAUGGUUUUCAGACAGAAGCCAGAUAACGAUGAUCUCCAAGGAGCCUUCCCACUCUAAAAUGCAAAGAUUCUGCUGUGAUCGUCACAUUGAGUCUGCAAGGGAUCUGCAAGUCCCGCCCCCCCGACACCCAGACUGAUUCUAUUUGCCCCCCAAGUUGACUGCAGUUAUGAGGAAGCAGAUUUAAGCUAAGCCUUGAGAAUAAUUUCCCACGGGAGAGAUGUCUGCAGAGGCACACACAACCAUCCCAAGUACAGAUAUAGAUAGUAUAGAGGUACACUCGCACAUAUACUUGUGAACACUUUUUUAAUGUCAAUAAUUGGUAAAGAGGGACCAGUGAUGCAUGGAUUUAUUUUUCUGAUUGAAUCCCUUCCCUUGAUGGGAGUUGCAGCCCAACAACAUCUGGGACCAAGUUUGAGAAUCUCUUGUCUGUUGGCUUCCCAGAGGCAUCCAGUGAGCCCCUAUGGGGAAACAGCAUGCUGGAUUAGAUAGGCCUUGGGUCUGAUCCAGCAGGGCUGUUAGGUUCUUAACAGUCAGGUAUGAUGGGAGUUGUAGUCCAACUUCUAUUUCCAGUCAUUCUCUUCAGCCUGACCUACUUUACAGGACUAUUGUGAGGAUAGAAGAAUUGCAUAUUUGGAGGUCCCGGCAGUAAGGGCAGAUAUAAAUUCCAGAAGCCAAGGGUUCUUAAAAUUGGGUCCCCAGAUGUUUUGGGACUAGAAUUCCCAUCAUCCUCAGCUACAAAACCUUGCAGGAGUAUUGCAUGUCUUGUUGAUCAAAAGGGAAUCAUGCAUGUUUGGAAUGGAAGGGUCCUUGUAAGAGCCCUGAAAAGUCAGAAGUUAGAUUACACAGAAGUUAUAUUAGAAGUUACAAAUAUUUUAAAGUUGAUGCUUAUGCUUUAUUUUAAAAAUAUUUAUAUAUUUCAUAUUGAAAAGACUCUUGGUUAAAACAACGCAGGGUUGUGUACAGCCCAUCGGAUCCCUCUACUACCUCUUGGUUUCUCCCAAGACGUGCUCAAGAGAGAUUUCCAUAGAGAUCUGCUUGCACAGACAUUACACUUUCAUCUUGCUUCUGCAUCCUUGCAAUAGCUGCCACUUGAAGCACUAGAGGGGUGGGGAGGGAUAGCUAUUCACAGCAAUUAGCCAAGAAGCUAGGGAUGACCCACCUGUAGCUCAGCAGCUGCUGUUGGACUAGAAUUCGCAUCAUCCCCAGCUGCUGUGUUGAGACUACAGAUGAUCACCCCCAUCAAAACAGGUGGCUGGGGAUGGUAGAAGUUUUAGUAUGGUGGGAGUUGUAAUCCAACACAGUGAUAACAAAUAUAGUCCCCUGAUGCAAAUCCAUGGUGAAAAGCAUCGUGAAAGAAAGCAUCAGGGUUUGGGCAACAGCUUGUAUAAGGGGGCUGGAUAAAGAAAUCAACAUGAAAAUAGGAAGGUUGAAACUAAGGGCGAAUAAGGGAAGGCCAUUAAAGUAACACAUUGAUCUGAAUUUAAGAUGCUAUUACCCCAAAUGAUUUGAUGUUAAAACUCAGGGUCACGACGUAAAUUCAGAAUCCUGCUGUUUUAGGUAAGUAAAUGUUUAACAUAUAUUAAACUGCCACCCAUUCCUGGAGGGCCGGCUGCCCGUUGGUUCUUUCCUCCUGCCUCCCAAAUGACUUGAUGUUAAAAUUCAGGUUCAUGACAUAAAUUCAGAAUCCUGCUGUUUUAGGUAAGUAAAUGUUUAACAUAUAUUAAACUGCCACCCAUUCCUGGAGGGCCAUUCGCCCGUUUGUUCCCUCCUCCUGCCGGACCCCACAAGGCUUGGCGUUCCCUCCUCCUGCCGGACCCCACAAGGCUUGGCGUUCCCUCCUCCUGCCGGACCCCACAAGGCUUGGCGUUCCCUCCUCCUGCCGGACCCCACAAGGCUUGGCGUUCCCUCCUCCUGCCGGACCCCACAAGGCUUGGCGUUCCCUCCUCCUGCCGGACCCCACAAGGCUUGGCGUUCCCUCCUCCUGCCGGACCCCACAAGGCUUGGCGUUCCCUCCUCCUGCCGGACCCCACAAGGCUUGGCGUUCCCUCCUCUUGCCGGACCCCACAAGGCUUGGCGUUCCUUCCUCUUGCCGGACCCCACAAGGCUUGGCGUUCCUUCCUCUUGCCGGACCCCA